UACGUAGGGAGCAAGCGUUAUCCGGAUUUAUUGGGUGUAAAGGGUGCGUAGACGGGAAUUUAAGUUAGUUGUGAAAUCCCUCGGCUUAACUGAGGAGCUGCAACUAAAACUGAAUUUCUUGAGUGCGGGAGAGGAAAGUGGAAUUCCUAGUGUAGCGGUGAAAUGCGUAGAUAUUAGGAGGAACACCAGUGGCGAAGGCGACUUUCUGGACCGUAACUGACGUUGAGGCACGAAAGUGUGGGGAGCAAACAGG
rnacentral:rRNA from 1 species